rnacentral:lncRNA from 1 species
UCGUUUGUGAAGUGGAGAUCAUGCUAAUAGAGCAUGGGGUUGCCUUGACUGUGGAGUGAGGCAGAUUCAGCUAGCAGCAGCCUCCUGGGGUGUUGCAGGGCUUGAUGUGAAUGCAGGAGAGAAGUCCAUGAAAUGGAACAUUCUGUGGAUGGAAGCAAGUGUUUUUGCUGUUUAUGUGCGUGUGUUUAUGUCCGCCACGGUGGUGAUUUUUUUUUUUUCCCUUGACGUGAGCCAUAAAGUCCUGAAAAAGCCUCACAGAGCUGGAUUGAAUGGGUAAUUUAUAAAGAAAAGAGGUUUAAUUGGCUUGUGGUUCUGUAGGCUGUACAAACAUGGAGCCAUCUGCUUAGCUUCUGGGGAGGCCUCAGGGAGUUUUUACUCAUGGUACAAGUCAAAGCAGGAGCAGGAGCAUCACACGGCAAACGCAGGAGCAAGAGAGAGUGGGAGUGGAAAAUGUUGGGAGGAGGUGCCACACACUUUUAAAUGAUCAGAUCUUGCAAGAACUCACUAUCUCAAAGACAGCACCAAACCAUGAGGGAUCUGCCCCCAUAACAAAAACACCUCCCAUCAGGCCCCACGUCCAGCACUGAGUAUCUCACCUGCUGAUCUCAAGGGUCAUGAAUAU